UCCCGUACUUGGUGUUACUGCGAAGGGGGGACGGAGAAGGCUAUGUUGGCCGGGCGACGGUUGUCCCGGUUUAAGCGUGUAGGUGUGUGUUCCAGGUAAAUCCGGUUCACUUUAACACUGAGGCGUGAUGACGAGGCACUACGGUGCUGAAGCAACAAAUGCCCUGCUUCCAGGAAAAGCCUCUAAGCAUCAGGUAACAUCAAAUCGUACCCCAAACCGACACAGGUGGUCAGGUAGAGAAUACCAAGGCGCUUGAGAGAACUCGGGUGAAGGAACUAGGCAAAAUGGUGCCGUAACUUCGGGAGAAGGCACGCUGACACGUAGGUGAAGUGAUUUACUCAUGGAGCUGAAGUCAGUCGAAGAUACCAGCUGGCUGCAACUGUUUAUUAAAAACACAGCACUGUGCAAACACGAAAGUGGACGUAUACGGUGUGACGCCUGCCCGGUGCCGGAAGGUUAAUUGAUGGGGUCAGCGCAAGCGAAGCUCCUGAUCGAAGCCCCGGUAAACGGCGGCCGUAACUAUAACGGUCCUAAGGUAGCGAAAUUCCUUGUCGGGUAAGUUCCGACCUGCACGAAUGGCGUAAUGAUGGCCAGGCUGUCUCCACCCGAGACUCAGUGAAAUUGAACUCGCUGUGAAGAUGCAGUGUACCCGCGGCAAGACGGAAAGACCCCGUGAACCUUUACUAUAGCUUGACACUGAACAUUGAGCCUUGAUGUGUAGGAUAGGUGGGAGGCUUUGAAGUGUGGACGCCAGUCUGCAUGGAGCCGACCUUGAAAUACCACCCUUUAAUGUUUGAUGUUCUAACGUGGACCCGUGAUCCGGGUUGCGGACAGUGUCUGGUGGGUAGUUUGACUGGGGCGGUCUCCUCCUAAAGAGUAACGGAGGAGCACGAAGGUUGGCUAAUCCUGGUCGGACAUCAGGAGGUUAGUGCAAUGGCAUAAGCCAGCUUGACUGCGAGCGUGACGGCGCGAGCAGGUGCGAAAGCAGGUCAUAGUGAUCCGGUGGUUCUGAAUGGAAGGGCCAUCGCUCAACGGAUAAAAGGUACUCCGGGGAUAACAGGCUGAUACCGCCCAAGAGUUCAUAUCGACGGCGGUGUUUGGCACCUCGAUGUCGGCUCAUCACAUCCUGGGGCUGAAGUAGGUCCCAAGGGUAUGGCUGUUCGCCAUUUAAAGUGGUACGCGAGCUGGGUUUAGAACGUCGUGAGACAGUUCGGUCCCUAUCUGCCGUGGGCGCUGGAGAACUGAGGGGGGCUGCUCCUAGUACGAGAGGACCGGAGUGGACGCAUCACUGGUGUUCGGGUUGUCAUGCCAAUGGCACUGCCCGGUAGCUAAAUGCGGAAGAGAUAAGUGCUGAAAGCAUCUAAGCACGAAACUUGCCCCGA
rnacentral:rRNA from 1 species